rnacentral:lncRNA from 1 species
UUUUUUUCUUUUCUUUCUUUCUUUCUUUCUUUCUCCUACUAUGUUCUAAUCUAAAUUGCUUAUAAUAGAUGUACAUUACUAUAAAACUCUUAUGGGACAUUCAAAUCACAAAUUACCUUUUUCUACAUAAUACAAAUCAUACUUUAUAUUAUAUGAACAAAUGAGAAAAAAAAAAAAAAAGCUCAGACAGUGUGGGACCCAAAAAGGUCACUCAAGGUAGGUCCCCUGAGAUACCCUCCUCCAUUGUUGAGUGCUUAAAAGCAGCUCCAAAGCACAUUCAUUUUGGCAUCCGAACAAAAUUAAAACUCCAUUUUUUCUUCUUUUUUUUUUCACACUCAAGAAUAUAAUUUCCCUCCUCACAGAUCUUUUCUCACUUUACCCUCAUACUUUUUUUUUAUUGUUUCUCAAGGAAAUAUUUAAGCUUUAAGCUAAGAAAGCUUCAAUCUUUCUCUUCCACCACACCUUCCUUUAUCCUCUGAGCUCAAUCAACUUAAGGAAGAAUAUAUCAUAAAGUGGCAUAACCCAAAGUGAAGUUAAAUUAUUAGGUAUGGGUUUGAAACCUAAUGCCAUGAAGAAUGUGGCUAUGGCGGCUGUUUCUGCUCUGUUUCUUCUAGGGUUUCUAGUUUGUUCUGUUUCUGGGUC